UAACCCGCUGAAAUUUAAGCAUAUAAUUAAGCGGAGGAAAAGAAAAUAACAAUGAUUCCACUAGUAACGGCGAGUGAAACUGGAUCUAGUUCAGCCUGUGAAUCGCUACCUAGUAGCGAGUUGUGGCCUAUAGAAGAUGUGUCGGACAAGGCUUUUUACUAAUUAUACUGGAACGUAUAGGCGAAGAGGUUGAGACCACCGUUCAUGUUUAAAGCUCUUGUCCAUGGCAUACACCUUCGACGAGUCGAUUUGCUUGGGAUUGCAGAUCAAAGUGCCAGGUAAAUUUCUGGUAAAACUAAAUAUUGGUGGGAAACCGAUAGCGAACAAGUAAUGUGAAUGAAAGUUGCAAAGAACUUUGAAAAGAGAGUUAAAGAGUACUCGAAAUCGUUGAAAGGGAAGCGUACGCAAACAGUGUUUCACUGUAUCAUCUUUCCUCACUGACUUGUCAUUGAGGCGCUGUGAUGCAGAGUUUGUCAACAAGGGUUUGGAUCGAAGCAUAAGUAUAGCUGGGAGGCACACGUCUUUUCGUGGAUUACCAGCUUGUCUCGUUUUGGUCUGGAUUGAGGCUAGUCUUCGUGUUGUUGUCGAAAUGUUUGUGUACACCCCGUCUUGAAACACGGACCAAGGAGUCUAGCAUCUGUGCGAGUAUCUGAUUUUUAACAUCAUAUGCGUAAUGAAAGUAACAGUGGUGAUAUUUUUGCAUCAUCCGCCGGCCACAACUCUUCGGAGGAAAGGUCUGAGUGUGAGCAUAUAUGCUGGGACCCGAAAGAUGGUGAACUAUGCUUGAUUAGGGUGAAGCCACCGGAAACGGGUGGUGGAGGCUCGUAACGGUCCUGACGUGCAA
rnacentral:rRNA from 1 species